rnacentral:rRNA from 1 species
GGGGGCAACCCUGGCGGCGAGCGGCGAACGGGUGAGUAACACAUCGGAACGUACCCUAUUGUGGGGGAUAACUAACCGAAAGGUUAGCUAAUACCGCAUAAGACCUGAGGGUGAAAGCGGGGGAUCGCAAGACCUCGCGCGAUAGGAGCGGCCGAUGUCGGAUUAGCUAGUUGGUGAGGUAAAGGCUCACCAAGGCGACGAUCCGUAGCGGGUCUGAGAGGACGGCCCGCCACACUGGAACUGAGACACGGUCCAGACUCCUACGCGAGGCAGCAGUGGGGAAUUUUGGACAAUGGGGGCAACCCUGAUCCAGCCAUUCCGCGUGAGUGAAGAAGGCCUUCGGGUUGUAAAGCUCUUUCGGCAGGAACGAAACGGUCUCUCCUAAUACGUGGGGCUAAUGACGGUACCUGAAGAAGAAGCACCGGCUAACUACGUGCCAGCAGCCGCGGUAAUACGUAGGGUGCGAGCGUUAAUCGGAAUUACUGGGCGUAAAGCGUGCGCAGGCGGUUUUGUAAGACAGAUGUGAAAUCCCCGGGCUUAACCUGGGAACUGCGUUUGUGACUGCAAGACUUGAGUGCGGCAGAGGGGGGUGGAAUUCCACGUGUAGCAGUGAAAUGCGUAGAGAUGUGGAGGAACACCGAUGGCGAAGGCAGCCCCCUGGGUCGACACUGACGCUCAUGCACGAAAGCGUGGGUAGCAAACAGGAUUAGAUACCCUGGUAGUCCACGCCCUAAACGAUGCGAACUAGGUGUUGGAGAAGGAGACUUCUUUAGUACCGCAGCUAACGCGUGAAGUUCGCCGCCUGGGGAGUACGGUCGCAAGAUUAAAACUCAAAGGAAUUGACGGGGACCCGCACAAGCGGUGGAUGAUGUGGAUUAAUUCGAUGCAACGCGAAAAACCUUACCUACCCUUGACAUGCCUGGAAUCCUGCUGAGAGGUGGGAGUGCUCGAAAGAGAACUGGGACACAGGUGCUGCAUGGCUGUCGUCAGCUCGUGUCGUGAGAUGUUGGGUUAAGUCCCGCAACGAGCGCAACCCUUGUCAUUAGUUGCCAUCAUUUAGUUGGGCACUCUAAUGAGACUGCCGGUGACAAACCGGAGGAAGGUGGGGAUGACGUCAAGUCCUCAUGGCCCUUAUGGGUAGGGCUUCACACGUCAUACAAUGGUCGGUACAGAGGGUUGCCAACCCGCGAGGGGGAGCCAAUCCCAGAAAGCCGAUCGUAGUCCGGAUUGGAGUCUGCAACUCGACUCUAUGAAGUCGGAAUCGCUAGUAAUCGUGGAUCAGCAUGUCACGGUGAAUACGUUCCCGGGUCUU